AUGGUUGUCGUCAGCUCGUGUCGUGAGAUUGGUUGGGUUUAAGUCCCGCAACGAGCGCAACCCCUGUCAUUAGUUGCCAGCAAGUAAUGUUUGGGCACUCUAAUGAGACUGCCGGUGACAAACCGGAGGAAGGUGGGAUGACGUCAAAUCAUCAUGCCCCUUAUGUUCAGGGCUACACACGUGCUACAAUGGCCGAUACAAAGGGCAGCAAGAGAGCAAUCUGGAGCGAAUCCCAAAAAGUCGGUCCCAGUUCGGAUUGAGGGCUGAAACUCGCCCCCAUGAAGCUGGAGUUGCUAGUAAUCGCGAAUCAGCAUGUCGCGGUGAAUGCGUUCCCGGGUCUU
rnacentral:rRNA from 1 species